GACGAACGCUGGCGGCGUGCCUAAUACAUGCAAGUCGAAAGCAGUGGGGACGGGUUAGUAACACGUGGGUAACCUCCCAUCAGAGGGGAUAACACUUGGAAACAGGUGCUAAACCGAUACUGAUGGAUGGACCCGCUGUUCAUUAGCUAGUUGGUGAGGAAACGGCUCACCAAGGCCACGAUGCCUAGCGGACCUGGUAGGGUAAUCUGCCCGGAUGGGACGCCGACACGGACCCGACACCUACGGGAGGCAGCAGUAGGGAAUCUUCGGGAAGGGACGAAAGUCUAACCGAGCCACGCCGCGUGAGGGAAGAAGGUCUACGGAUCGUAAACCUCUGUUGUUAGAGAAGCGGUAUCUAACCAGAAAGCCACGGCUAAUUACGUGCGAGCAGCCGGGGAAAUC
rnacentral:rRNA from 1 species